UGCUAGUGUUGCUAUUUGGUUUGAUGAUGAGUUUUUACUCUGCAACCCAAGCUAGCCUUGAACUCUGUAUUCUCCUGCCUCAGCCUCCCAAGGACUAGGAGCAUAACUCCUGAGAGUACAGUUGGGUGUCACCAUAUUCGUCUCGGUGUGGUGGGUCUUGAUGGGUCUUGAAAAAUUCCUAUGGUUAAAACUAAGUAAAUCCAAAUAAUGUGUGGAUGUUAGUCAAUAACAGUGAACCCACGGUGCAUGAGAAAGUGGGAGAAACUGGGUCUGGGGUGCCUGGGAACUCUCUCCACAACUUUUUAGUAAACAUCAACCUUGUUUGAGAUUUUUUUUAAAAGUAUGUUUAAAGCUUAUUUUUAAUCAGAUGAACAGUCUCUUAGAACAGAACAAGCCAGCAGGUCCACACCUCAUGAGCCUUCAGCUCAGGUGUGUUUACAGUGUUUCUCUGUUUUUUCUCUUAGUUAAUUACUAUCUGUACCGUCAUUCCCUCCCUUACAUAGCCAAGCUCCCAGAGGCUUUCAGAGUGACAAUGGAGAGAUUGUCCCCAGUCCUUGGACAUUAGGAACCGUGCUGGGAUGUCUAUUCCUCUACCUGGACAUCCUGCCCAGAUUUUGAGCAUUGCAUUGCUGAGGUCAGUUAUGUUACACCUCACCCAUCCAUGGGAACUCAGAUCAGCUGGCAGCCGUCAGGAAAAUACUCAGCUGCUCACUGUGGUGCUCAGUCCCAGCCCAACCCCAGAAAAAGGCAGCCACAAUCCCCACUCAUAGAUUAUCAAGGCUUCCUGAGCACAGGCUUUCUCCGAGACCCACUUUAAGAUGUAAUGCUACCUACCCAUCUCUACCCACCAAACCCAAUGGAAGACUAUUUACUCUUCUUGAAUCCCAGUCUUAUCAUUCUUCCUUCCUUCUCUCUUUGCUUUGGUGUAACCUUUCUAUUCUUCAAGAGACUUGGCUUUUAGUAGCCAACCAACUUCCCUCUCCAAUUCUCUCUACCAGGGAUUCCAAAAGUGUCUCUUAAAAUUCAAAGCCAAGGGCCAACAUUUUUCCUUGCAUCCCACAUUCGGCUAGUAAGCACAAUGUCACUCCUCUUCUGACAAAAUAAAAUAGUAGGGAAAAGUUUAAAAUGUGAGAAAAUGACAAUUGUUUGGAUGAGAAGAGGGACAGAGUAGAUGACAUCAUGUGGCCACAGAUUGGCAGCAUGUCCGUGGUGAACCUAGGAAGUGACAGCUGAAAAAGGCAUCUAGUGUUGGAAAGUUCCUGACGGGCAAACUCAGGGUGCUGGGAGAUGGGCUUAAGGAGAAUGUGACUGAGUAGUAAUUGCUACUCAGGGCAUUGGGGUUUGGAAUGGACAGGGAAUGACUGGUGUGUAUUUGGCAAGAAAAGAUCUCUACUCAAGGGACAGAAAUUCUGGCCAAUUCUAUCUCAGGUACUCAGUCCAAGAAAGGAAUGAGAGAAAAUUUUUGUAUGAGUAUGGGACACAUGCAGGCUCUCCCUGACAUCUGAGCAUGUACAGGGAGAUCUAAACAGGGUUUCACGACAGCUGCUGUUGAUCCUACCCAACCUUCAAAAUCCGGCUCCAGUUUCAUCCUCUUUCAUGAAGCUCCUACAUAACUCAAGUUGAUCUCUCCCUUCUCUGAAUUGCACAUCAGUCAUUUGGGCAUUUAAUCGUGUGCCACAUUCUAUUAUUUACAAGUUUUGUGUUCAGUUCUUGCCUAGGAGACGAUGCAAUCCUUCGUGAUUAGCAUGCAGGUGCCGAGUGCUUCUUGUGUACCUGGAGCUCCAUGAGGCCCAAGGACAUGAAACAAAAUGCAAACCUCCAGCUGUGGAAGACAGUGUAUAUUGUCUACUCAAUGCUACUCUCCUUGGUAGACAUGAAGCCCAGCUAAAAAUCUGCAUCUCCCAACCCUGGUGUCCAUGUGACUGGGUAUUGAUCCCCAUGAGAUACAAGCAAAAGGGAAGGAUUUAGCAUCCAUGUGCUCUCUGUCUUUUGCAUUCGACUUCAGAAACAGCAGCAUCCUGAUGCAGCUGCAUUUGAAGAAUCUGAAAUUCUACCUAGCAAGAUUCAUUCACUCCUGACCAACAUUUGGUUUUCAAGAAUUCUCAGCAGGGGCUAAAUACUCCCAGGAGUGCUUACACCUUAAACCUUUAUCCCACAGUCCCUUCUAGAGAAGAUUGGUGGGGUAGCAGAGCAUCAGCUCAGACUAAUGGUGGGGGAGGGGAUACAGGAAGUGAAAGAGCAAUUAAAAUCUCCAACCAGAAAA